UUCACCAAAAAAAAAAGAGCAUGUACAGCGGUAUAAAUCAGGUAAUCCUUAGAAAAAAUUCUUAAUGCUUUUUGAUUAAAGAAAUAUUAAAAGAGGAGGGCAAAGUUAAGGAUGAUCCUUAGUUAAGGAUGAUCCUUAAUUAAGGAUUAAAAUACCGAAGUCCUUAUCAUGCUGGCAUACUUUGAUUGGUCCAUUUUUGUGUUGUCCCUCGUUAGGGGAGAGAAAAACACGUGACCCAACCUCAUUGUAUCUCGAACCCGAAAAAAAAAAGCAGAGGCGACAGAGAGGCGAUUUGCGAUACAACAAAUCCAACUACUUUCAUCUCCACAGAUUAUUGUAACACAUGAUACUUAUACAAUUCAUUCAGCUUGAUGGUUUUCUUGAAAAAGCAGUACAAGAUCAUGAAAAUGCAGAUGAAGAGAGAUCAGAUUUUGUACAUAUGUUGCUAUCUGUUCAGAGAGAUGAGACGACAUCAUUUGAGUUUGAGAGAAGGGACUUAAAAUUCGUCCUCUUGGUAAAGCAUUUUUAACCUAUUUUUUCAAGAAGAAAAAAACUCUACUAGUCAUUUUUAAUGAUUAGGAAGUUCUAUGAUUUUAGUUUUUCUUAUCUUUAUUUUUUUUUGGAGGAUAUGUUGUUCGGGGCAGCGCCAACAACUUUCGCACUAUUAGAGUGGACAAUGACAGAGCUUAUAAGACAUCCGGAGUGUUCAAAGAAACUCAAGCUGAGAAGCUGAGAAGCUGAGAAGCUAAAAAAAAAAGAGAUUUGUUCUGUUUCAACACAUAAGUUAUAUGUAAGGGAGCAAGAAACUGAGAAGAUGAAUUAUUUAAAUCUUGUGAUUAAGGAGGCGCUUCGACUACAUCCCGGGGUACCAUUAGCUCCCCGGCAAUUGAGUGAAGAUGUUAAAGUACAUGGAUAUGACAUAGCUGCAGGAACACAAGUAAAUCUUUACAUCUUAUGAUUAAGAUCAAACCCUAAUGACAAUACAUAUUUUUUAAGAUAAAAUGUGUAUUUGGAACACAGGGGUUAAUCAAUAUAUGGGCAAUCCAAAGAGACGUGUCAGCUUGGGGACAAGAUGCAGAUGAGUUUAGGCCAGAUAAGCAUUUAGAUAUGGUUGCAGAUUUUCAAGGACAGAAUCUCAAGUUUAUUCCAUUUGGUUCAGGGAGAAGAAUAUGUCGUGGAAGUGGAUAUGUAGUAGCUUUUUGGUGGAAGUCACAUUGGCCAACCUAGUGAAAAGGUUCGACUGGAAAGUUGACGUAGGAGCAAUGGGAGAUGAUAAGCCAGAUGUAGCUGAAGCAAUUGGUAUUGAUGUUUGCCGCAAGGACCCUCUUAUUGUUUGUCCAUCUUCUGCGGACUUUAUUCUAAAAUGCCCUAGUACCUUGCUUAAAAACUCUAGUAUGCCCCAGUUUUAAAAGGAUUUUCUUUUUGAAUAUUUUUUAAACCAGAAAACGUGUAAAAGACAUCUAAGGACUUAAUGAAUUUGCAUAAUUACAAACCCAACCAUGGUUCAAUCGGAUUAUCCAAAUCCAAACUUAGAACAUACGGAUCUUUCCAUCAUUCUUUCACGAUUUUUUUGGAGAUUUUAAUCUCUUUUUUUUCUGAGCUUUCGUUUUCUCUUCAACAGAAAAAAUCGCUCAGUUCCAUAACUCUGUUUUAAUUCAGGCUCUAUUCCGACGACGGAACGACUCAAUCGUAUCACCACAACUCCCGUUCUUCCUCCUAUCAGAGGCAUCUUCCUACAAUUUUAUCUUUGAAACCAACGAAUUAAUUAAAGUUCUUCAGGCUAAAAAUGGUUAUGGAGCAUUCUCGUUGGUCAUAUCCAGUGAAUUGUCGCAAUUCUCGUGGGGAAGCUAACAGAGGAGAGGACGGAGUCGACAACAGAGAGUCGUUCGUCGUCAUCGGCAGCAGAGAAUUUCGUGGCGGCGUUGUUAAUGUUGAGCCACGAGAGUCUUCGAUUCAAGAAGAUAGCUAAGGAGGCAAGUGCAGUGGAAGACCUCGUAUCCUUUCUCGUGCUUGAACGGAACAAAUUCCUUCUUUUCUAAUCCGUCGAGUAGUUCCACAAUCGAAACCCCCCAAGGUCAAUCGAAACACAGUUGAUUUAGUUUGAUGAAUUUCCUUAAUUUUGUGACUGUGUGAAUCAGAGAGCGCUUACCCACAUUUCACCAGAGGAAGAUCCAAACUUUUACACCCAUUGAGUCGGACAAUUAGUUUAGCAAGAUUGAUUGGUAUUAGUAUUAAGAGAGACACAACAAUAGGGAACAUAAGCAUCUAAUGUAAGAAGAAAGUUUGCCUACAGAACAACAAAACCAGCGCUCUAUAUUUUGUUUUGUUUCAGGCUUCAAGGCAUAGGAAAAGCAGGGAGCAUUUUCGGUGAAGUGGUGAAAUUACUAAGCAUAUAAGUUCUGAGACGAAAGCAAACAUGAGGAUCAAAGAGGCUUUGCCGGGUGGCGACCAGCGUGCUUUGCGAGGAGCGUGUUGUUACUAUAUAUUCAACAAUAGAUUCUUUCUUCCUGUUGCAGAGUUGUUCCUUGAAAGCAUUUCUUCUGAUCUUGGCUUUAGUGGUGAUACAUUAGCUGAAGGUGUUGGAUCUUGGAUAUGUUCCGUAUUCAAUUAUUAAUCAUGUUCCUUGGCUUGUAUGUUACAUUGUCUAGGUGGAACUCUAUGCAUAAGUAGUUUCGAGUGGAUGUCGUAGAGAAUGCGUUAGUGAUGGUUUUACUCGGACCAAGUCUUGAAGUUUUUUUUUUGGUUCAAGACAAGUCAUGUGCAUUGUGGGCAAUGGCGGUUUUGUUAUGUUUUUUUUUAUUAUUUGUAUUCUUAAAAUUUUAGUAUUUUGAAUGUGUAAAAUUUAAAUAUUUGGGUUUCAUAAAUUUUUACAAGAUUGAAACA